rnacentral:rRNA from 1 species
AACGAACGCUGGUGGUAUGCUUAACACAUGCAAGUCGAACGGACUCUUGAAGCUUGCUUCAAGUAAGUUAGUGGCAAACGGGUGAGUAAUACAUAGGAAUCUACCUAGCAGUAUGGAAUAACCCUGGGAAACCAGAGCUAAUACCAUAUAUUACCGAUUUAUCGGGAAAGAUUUAUCGCUGUUAGAUGAGCCUGUGUCCCAUUAGCUUGUUGGUAGGGUAAUGGCCUACCAAGGCGAUGAUGGGUAGCUGGUCUGAGAGGAUGAUCAGCCACACUGGGACUGCGACACGGCCCAG